AAAGCUCGUAGUUGAAUUUCGGGAUCAGUACGCUGGUCAUGCCUUUGGUAUGCACUGGUGUCACUGGUUUCUCCCUUCUGAAGAACCGUGAUGUCAUUAAUUUGGUGUCGCGGGGAAUCAGGACUGUUACUUUGAAAAAAUUAGAGUGUUUAAAGCAGGCUCGCGCUUGAAUACAUUAGCAUGGAAUAAUGAAAUAGGACGUUUGACCCUAUUUUGUUGGUUUCUAGGAUCGACGUAAUGAUUAAUAGGGAUAGUUGGGGGCAUUAGUAUUCAAUUGUCAGAGGUGAAAUUCUUGGAUUUAUUGAAGACUAACUACUGCGAAAGCAUUUGCCAAGGAUGUUUUCAUUAAUCAAGAACGAAAGUUAGGGGAUCGAAGACGAUCAGAUACCGUCGUAGUCUUAACCAUAAACUAUGCCGACUAGGGAUCGGAUGAUGUUAAUUUUAUAAUGACUCAUUCGGCACCUUA
rnacentral:rRNA from 1 species